UAACUGUAGACAUGUGAUUUUUUAUGUAGAUUCUAUAUAGACUAUAUAUAGAGUCUAUAUAGAGGGACUAACACCUAUCAACUAAAAAGGAGGAAAAAAACAAACGCUGGAAAAGGAAAAAAAGCUACACAUCUUCUUUUUCCGGACACAACCAACGAAAGGAGGGUCUUUUUCCUCAUAACAAUCCUAGAUCUAGAGCUUAAGAUACAGCAUGAAAGAGCCAUGAGAGCUCAUCUUUUUCACCUGAAAAACAUCCCAUGAAACACCUCAAAUCCAUCGUAAAGCCACAGCAAAAAACAAGCUAAAAAAACUGAGAAGAGUAUCGAAAAACAGCUACCAAACAACCCCCAAAAUCACCCAAAUUAGUACCCAAAACACUACGCAACUCCAGCCUUAAUUUGCCCCAAGUCAGAUGCGAAAUCCAGUGUUUGAGAGCAGCAAAAUCAGUGGCAACUUUGUAGAAAAAAUCAGUUUAAAAUCCCCAGCAAAUCACCUCAUUUUCAGCCCCAAAUCGCUGCGAAAAAAUACAGCAGUCCAUCUCCCAAAUCAGCCCUCAAAACCAUCCUUAAACCAACUGUAAAUUACAUAUUUCAGCCGUGUAAAAACCAGCAACAAGAGCGCAAAAAUAACAUCAAAACAUCCCCUUCUUUGCACAAAAAACAACAGCUCCGAGGUCGAGUUCGAGUUUCCCGGCGAGGUCACAUUCGAAUUCGUCGAUCUCUCAGAUCCAGGUUGUUUUCGUAGCUUCCACUCAACUUUAAUUGGAUUUUCUCUUCACCGUAUAUAUUGAAGGUCGUUAAAUUAAUUUUGGAAGAAAAUUCUCAAAGGUCCACUACCUAUCAUGCGCUAUUUAAUUCAGCGAAUCUUUAUAUUUGUGGUUUGGUCAUUCAUUGAGUUUUAUAACCUCUGGUGUUUAAUAUUUCAAAUGUAUUGUUCAUAUGAAUUUAUGUGAGGUUCAUGGAAUUUAAUUUAAGGUUGGAGAUAUUAAUUGUUUAUUAGCGUUUAUGUUAGAUGUUGGUUUAUACACACACGUUAUUAUACACACAUUGUUUUCUAUGAGCUUACUUCCAGUGUUCAAGCUCUACUUUAAAAGAAUUUCUCUAGUGUUCUUUUACCCCAUUGUAUAUCAGUGUCAAGGAUCUCUUCCACGGGCUUCACAUUAGGCCAAUCUCCUCCUCCUAUUAAUUUGAACUUUUAUAUAUCUUUAUUCCCUUCUACUUCUUGGUCGACAUUAAGCAUCAGUCUUGGGAUUUCUCUAGGAUGUGUUAAAUCAGUAGCACCUCUUCGUUUGAAUCUCAAGUUAGUUUAGGAAAAUAAAUUAUGAGCACAAUAAUUUGCUUUAUGCGCGAUUAAUCAAUUAUCGUGAUUAUGGGUACGGUUCUCAUGACGUAGUUGUGAUACACAAUUUUAAAAUUCGGGGGUACAUUUGUGUGACCUGACCAUAAUUUAGUCCUUUUUAAUAAAAUAAACACAUUGUGGAUCGUGGGUACAGUUCCCGCUACAUGAUUCACGAUGUGUAAUUAAAAUAAUUCGUUGUAUGAAAAUUGGAUUAUUAAAAGCGAUUUAGAAGGAAAAAAUGCAUAAAUUUUAUAGAUGUUUUAAAAUCAGAUAAGUAGUCCAAUAAUAACAGUUGAGUGACCGUGCUAAAACCACGGAACUCAAGAAUGUCUAAUACCUUCUUCCGGGUUAAUAGAAUUUCUUACCUGCAUUUCUAUGUUCGUAUACUGUAAAACAUAGUUAAUCUUUCCUCGAUUCGGGAUUUGAACUGGUAACUUGGGACACCCUAAAUUUUUCAAGUGACGACUCUGAAUCUUUAAUAAAAUAAUCUCGUUUCAAUCGUUAUUUAAAUUAAAAAAACUCCCCUUUCUACGCCCUUCGUGGGAUGUAGAAAAAAGGAGGUGUGACAAUAACCACAUUCCCACUAAUAAUAAAUUCCGCUCCUUAUUCUUAGCGCCCACAAAUACCAUUGAUAACCAAGAUCUAAUGGAUUUGGAAGAGAAAUCUGACCAAUGGAGGGUAAGUUGUACUCAACCACCCUAUCUAGCUUACACGUAGAAGAAACUGAUAACCCACCCUCCUUUAUAUCUCAAUUAUUAGUUAAGUCUACAGUUAGAAAUAAUCAACCGGUAGGUAAUAAUCCUAAAAAGAUCAACCGUCUAAUACAAUCCAUCAUCAAAGCCAAAAUAAUCGAGGCUCUUCCAUACUAUACCAACAUUCAUCCACACCAAUUUGGUGAUACAAUGUCCAACUCAAAUGCAUUACCACAACACCUGUCCACUUUCUUAACAGAAUUUGAACAAAUGGACAUUACCCUAAAAAACGUCGCUACUACUAAAUCUUCUAAUGAAUCCCUCACGCUUCCCCACUCCAAUCCCAUGUACAUAGAUCCUAACCCUGUAACGUUAUCUGCUGUCUCACCUCCAAUCAAGUGUGUAAGUAGUAUAAACUCCCCUAUAAGUCCCCAAAGAGCCUUAAUAGGCCAAAAGUUUGUUAAUCAUUGAUAAGGAGAAAUAGACUUAUCUAAGUUCUCCAUCAAAAUCCACACUCAAUUAUGAACAACCUACCCCCACUUCUCCCGCAACUUCCAAAUCCAACAGUUUACUGCACCUCAUCACCACUACCCCCAAACUACUAACUCCUAAGCUGGAUGGAAGCAGGCUUAAUAGGUCAUGUGAUCUUCUUCAAUAUGGAGAUCAAUGGUCAGGACACUGUCAUAGUGAUCCAAAAUACCCCCUACCUGACCUAACUUAUAUCAGAGGGGGUGAGAUUAGCCAUGAACAACUUCAUGACUCAAAUCUGGAUCAACAACGUGCUUCAGCCACUUGCACCAACUAUGAAUGUCAACCUACUUUAAGCUAUGCAAAGCCACUGGAAUCUUCCACCACGAGCAAACCCACAGAUUCAUAUUCCCCACACUUUGGAUCUUCCCUUCUUUCUUCCAGAGGAAAACUAUCUGCUCGGUCCCAUCCUCAUUUCAUAGGAUUCACAUGAAAACUAGGAUCCAAUCAACAUGCCAAACCAGAUGGAUAACAAUCCACCUCCUAACGAACAAGGUCAGGGAGGAAACGAAAUGGAGGAGGAGGAGGAAGAAUUGGAGCCCAUAAAUACGGGGAUGAGUGUGGAGUUUGCAUACCUAAACGUGGUAAAGGUUCUGCUCUUCAAGGAAAACAUGAGCAAAAAAUUCAUAUUCAACUGUCCUCCCUCAGUGUACAAAUGCUCGAUGGACGUAAGGCCACCAAGGGACCCAACGGUUGGCUCCCAUGAAGUAAUCUUAGUGUCAUGCAAUAGAACAAACCCCAACCCUUCUUUGGAGGCGGUGACCAAUUCAAACCAUCAAAAUCCAAUGAUGAUGAAUAGGGGCACAAGCAUCAUUUUCUGGAACGAGCAUGGAUCAAACAAUGAAGAUUUUCGUAGGAACUUUAGAGAACUCAUAGAUACUCACAAACCCUGCUUAUUAGCCUUGCUUGAGACUAGUAUGUCCUCCCAUCCAACCUUACUCAAUGAUUAUAACUUCACAGAAAUGAUCGAGGUGCCAACUCAAGAUCAAGCCGAUGGCUUAGUUGUUCUCUACGAUCACAAGAUUGUUACUGUGAACAACUUUACUAGAAGGGGCAAGGAAAUCCAUGCAAUAAUUAAGAGGCGAUCUUAAUAAUAUAAUUAUGGCUUCUGAAAAAUUCUGAGGUAGGACAAUAAAUCACUCUAAAACCAAUAGGAUUUGGAGCCAUAUAAACAACUGUAAACUAAUUGACUUAGGAUUCAAAGGGUGUAAGUACACUUGGUCUAAUCACAUAAAUAGGCACAGAGGCCUUAUCAUGGAAAGAUUUAAUAGGUUUUUGGCCCAUGAAAAUUGGUUAAGUCUCUUCCCAGGGUCCUCAAUAACGUAUUUGCCUAAAACCUACUCGGAUCACAACCCCUUACCUUUUAAGCUCAACUCUUUUUCAGGCCCCCCUACUCACAAACCUUUUAGGUUAAAAACUUUUUAUGCACCCACCACGACUUCACUAGUAUAGUUUAUUCUCAUUGGGGCAAUAAUAACUUUAAAUUGGCCACACAUGAUUUUGUUCUCAAUAUUACCAACUCGAGUAAAACUACUUUUGGGGACAUCUUUAAGAGACAGAAAAAAAAUAUUGGCUAGACUCAAUGGUAUUCAAUGCUCACCCCAUUACGCUACUAGUGUAUUUCUACAAGAGCUUGAAAUAUCCUUAUAAAAAGAUUAUAAUAGCUUCCUAAAACUAGAGGAGUACUACUGGAAGCUUAGAGCAAGAGUUAAUUAGCUUAAUUAUGGAGACACCAAUACAAAAAUUUUAUAUAUUAGUGCCACAAUAGAAGAAGGCGAAAUCACAUAAUCUACUUCAAAAAUAAUUUCAGAAACUGGAUUGAUAACCCUAAAUAAAUCCUUAAUGAAGCUUUCACUAUAUCCAUAUUCUCUCAAAAAAAUCUAAUCUGCCAAAUUUUUUUGAUCACCUAGACCUAUCUGGCCUAGAUAGACCUCUUUGUGAUAGUGAAAUUCAAAAAGUCUUAUUCACCUUUAAACCAUAUAAAGUCUUUGAGCCGGAUGACUUUCACUCUUUUUUUUCUACCAAAAUUAUUGAAAAAUAGUUGGUCCUAGUGUUAUUACAUACUGCCAAGAGAUCUUUGCUUCAAAGCAUAUCCCUUUGGAAAAUAAUAGCACCUUCAUUUGUCUCAUUCCUAAAAUCUCUAAUGCCAACAACCUCAGAAAUUUUAGGCCUAUCAGUCUUUGCAACACCAUUUAUAUAGUGAUUAUAAAAAUCAUUACUAAUAGACUAAAAUCUUUUUUGGAUAAAAUCAUUAGCCCUUAUCAAGCUAUCUUCCUGAAAAAUAGGCGAGCUAGUGGUAAUGUUAUUUUAAUUCAAGAAAUUAUAAAUUAUUUCAGAAAAAGUAAUAGUAAGAAAGGCAAAAUGAUUCUCAAACUUGGCUUAGAAGAAGCCUUUUAUAAGCUUGAGUGGUCCUUUAUCUGUAAAACUUUGAUAUACUUUAAGUUCCCUCCUAAAUUUACCUCUCUUAUCAUGUUAUUUAUUACUACUAGUACUAUGUCUGUGAUAGUUAGUGGUACAAUCACAAAAUGGUUCACCCCAAGUCGUGGUAUUAGGAAAAGUGACCCUAUGUCGCCAUACAUCUUCAUUCUUUGCAUGGAGGUGUUUACUAGAUACAUAAAUCACCAAAUGGACAUUAAAAUGUGGGAUCCUAUCAAUCUCUCAGGGAAUGGUUUAGCUCUUUUUCACCUCUUUUUCGCAGAUGAUCUCACCCUAAUGAGUCACAUUAACAUAAAGUCUUAUAAUACUAUCCUCUCAGGUAUUAAUCAUUUUCGCAACAUGUCAGGACAAUCCAUAAACCUUGUUAAGUUUAAAAUCUUUUUUUUAAAAUGUCCUAAUAACUGCAUUGAUAAAAUCGCCAACAUAUUUGGGAUCAAAAAAUGUGAUUCAUUCAGCAAAUACCUUGGUUUCCAAAUAAUCAAUUCUAUCCCAAAAGCAAAGGAUUUCUAGUAUAUUCUUGAUAAUAUGAGAUCUAGAUUAGUCAUUUGAAAAUCGAGCUGCUUAAAUAUCGUUGGUAGAACCACGCUUGCUUUCUCUACUCUUGCAAGCAUUCCUAGUCACAUGAGGCAAUACACUCUCCUCCUCAUUAAAAUCCUAAGCUCUAUUAAUAAAAUACAAAGGGAUUUCAUAUGAGGUACUACAAAAUCUAAAAGGAAACUCCACCUUAUUAGCCGGGAAACAAUUACCACGGCUAAGGAUAAAGGGGUUUGGGAUUACGUAAGGCAAAAUCCAAAAAUAUAGCCUUAAUAACUAGUACGGCUGGGAGGUUUCUUUACACACCUCAAGCCCCAUGGGCUAACAUCCUUACACUGAAAUAUGUCACCAAUAACAUAAAAUCAAAGCACUCUCAUACAUGGAAAAACAUCCUUAAGGAUUCACACAUUUGUAACAAAUGGAGCCUAUGGUCAAUCUAUAGUAACUCCUCCCUCCCCAUUUGGAGUGCUAGAUGGACCCCAAAUACUCCCCUUCUCAGAAGCUGUACAAAACGCCCUUUAAAUAUUAAGGAUCACAAAAUAAAAAUUAGUGAUCUUAUUGUGAACAAUACACGGUCUUUUGAUAAGCUUUCCUUUACUCUACCACCUAAUAUCAUUAGAAACAUCACCAACAUUUCCAUGCUCAUUAAUCGUUAUUAUGAUUACCUUCUCUAGGAACCCAAUACUAAUGGUUCCUUCUCCACGAAAUCAUGUUAUACCCUAAUAGAGAAUCCUGAACUUAGCCUAAAGAAUAGAAUUAACAACUUCAAAUGGGUAUGGGACGUCCACUGCCCUAACAAAAUAAAAUUCUUCCUCCGGAAAUGUUGUCACAAUAGACUCCCCUCUCGUGCCUUCCUUUAUCAUAUUAGAAUGAAUAUUGAUAAAACAUGCACUGUGUGUAGAUCAGGUGAGGAAACCCUUCCCCAUAUUUUUCUACAAUGUGAAGUAGCUAAAAACCUUUAAAAAUACCUUAAUUGGGAUACCAUUGCCCCAAGCUGCGAUAACUAGAUUUGGCUAGAUGCCAUCAGACACAGUAACCCACUGAUUCUCUCCAACAUAAUUGCUUGCUCCCAUUACUUCUCUGGAACAUUGGGAUAAACAAAAACUAUAAUCUAGAAAAUAAUACAAGCAAAUUUAUUUCAUGAACCCAUAUCAUCAACCAAGCAACUGAGUUCCACUAUCUAACGGAAAGGGAAAGCAACCAUGAAGUGAUACUCAGUUGUAGCACGAACUGGAGGAAGCCAAAGCUAGGCUGGUACAAACUUAAUUUUGAUGGCGCUUAUAAUAAAACUACAAGUGGAAUAGGUAGAGUGGUGCAUGACCACAACGACCACUGGAUAUUGGGUUUGAAUAUGAGAGUUCAAGCUACUUCUUGCACCCAUGCAGAACUUCUGCUUUUCAUCAAAGUCUGAAGUUUGCAAUAGAAAGAAAUCUAUUUCCUCUUGAAAUCGAAACUGACUCAAUACAGGCAUUACAUCUUCAUGAAAAUAGAAAAAAUACAUUUGACUCUAUUGUUCAUAAUUGCAGGUUGUUCCACGAAGGAGAAAGACAUAGUGGUCCGGCAUAGCUUUAGAGAAGGAAGCGGAGUAACAGACCUUCUAGCCAAAGAAGCUACCAAUCAGACUAUCAUCAAUAAGCUAGUUUAUUUUGUUAGGCCUCCCCCAUAUGUCGUGGCCAAGAUACUGGCGGACAGGGAUAGAGGUGGUAGUAUGAAAUUAGUGCCUAGAAGCACUUGUAGAACUCUAGCUGAUUUGGGAAAUCUAAAUGGCAUACACGACAUUAAUGCUUUGUGUAAUGAUCUAGUGGAUUGAUGUACUCAUGUUUCCUAGCAUUAAAUAAAUAAAAAGCUCCCCUUGUCCAAAAAAAAAAA
rnacentral:lncRNA from 1 species